AACCGUGACCACACCACUUUGGAAACACCAGUUUUCGUCCGAUCACCGAAAUCAUGCAACAUCGGGCCCGGUUAGUACUUUCAUGGGUGAUCGGAGAGGAAUGCCGGGUGUUGCGGUCG
rnacentral:rRNA from 1 species